CAAAUGGUCAACAUGUGUCCCUCUCGCAGCCAGAGUGGUGUUUAUACGGAUAAAACCCAAGCGGAAGACGGGCGUCCUGCUCUCCAGUCAUUUUAAAAGGAGCCAACGUGACUGGAGACUGCGAAUUAGCUGCAAAUCCACAGAACUGUGCAAUUUCACAUCAGCGGCUAACGAGUGUCUUCCGCAGAAAAGCUCUGGGCUGUUUUAUACAUAAUCAUCACACCAGCGCGCCGGUAACAACGUUACAAGAAGUUAAUUUGAGUGGGUGGGGGUCUCCCGCUAUUCUUUUCAGUCCUUCGGGCCAAUAUGCAUUUUCAACUACGGUUUAUUUGAAACCAGCAGCAGCGCACAAACAGUAAGUGGUUCGAAAGGCUUGAAUCGCCACCUGAACGCACCACAGCGGCGCUUUUCUCUUUCGGUUGCACCGACUCUCUCGUCUCUGACACACACACACAAACAGGCGCGCGCACACAUCCAAACCAACACGCGCGCGCGCUCACCCGCGCGCAUACACAAGGGCUAGGCUCCGACCUUCGAAAUUGGAAGAGAAAAAAAAAAACUAGCGCCCGUUUCCUCGAUAUCGCAACGGCUUCCUCAACAAACCCCCUCCUCGCCGCGCGCGCUCGGCCGUUAACGACAAACAACCCCCGGCUCUGGAAGCGUAACUACAGAUUUACAAACAGUCACUCACCGCAAACAAGAAGCUCCGACGCCUAGCGAGGCCACAGGGACGGAGCUGAGCCGUGCCGAGCGCCGGGGAGAGGAGGAGAGAAGCGGCCGGCUGCUGGGAGCCGGGAGGUGGGGCUAUUACUCAGGCAGGGGCCGGACGGACAGACGAGCCGGAGGGGGCGGGGGAACAGAAGCACCUGCUCCCCCUCCUCCUCCCCCCCGGCCGUCACGCCUCCAGACCACAGAGCUGACCCCGCAUUGUCCCGCAAAUGGGAUAAAGAAUGUCCCAUCCAUUCCUGACCAGGAUGCAGAGUCACUUCCUGUUCAUAAUAAUCAGCUAAAAACCGCACAUCGGCAAAAAGACGAAUACAGUCAGCCAAAGUUUGGAGUAACCGUCUAUUAGGAUGCAUUUUAUUUGUUGUGCCACUAUGUGCUGAAAGGGUGUCACAGACUGCUAGAAGACCGUAGAGACCACGUGACUAGAGGCGGCGUCCACGCAAGCAAAGUAGCAUACCAGCGAGUGCACGGGCUGUAAAAUCAAAGGCGCACUUGUAAGACGCGUUCUCCCAGAGCCGGGGAUGAAAACGAGGAUUAGGCAGGGCGUGAUAAUGCCGGUCUGUCUUGUCUUUCAUCCAAGUGAUAGUGUAUCCCUCACCUCUACUUGACCUGCAGGAGCGAGCGAGAGAGCAGGCUGACAAGGUAUCCUGACUGUGCAGCGCUGAGCCCUCAGCCUUUGAUCUGCCUGCUGUCGGCGCACAUGCUACCCCCGCGAUACGGAGAGAGCCCCCUUCUGUUCAAUUACUCAAAUUAUCAGCCAUUAGAGUAUUAAAAUGUCUUAGAUGACUCAGAAUUUUUUCACCAAUUAAUCAUUUUUAUCUUUAAUCUUUUUUUUUU